UGGGGAAUAUUGGACAAUGGGGGCAACCCUGAUCCAGCAAUGCCGCGUGUGUGAAGAAGGUCUUCGGAUUGUAAAGCACUUUCGACGGGGACGAUGAUGACGGUACCCGUAGAAGAAGCCCCGGCUAACUUCGUGCCAGCAGCCGCGGUAAUACGAAGGGGGCUAGCGUUGCUCGGAAUGACUGGGCGUAAAGGGCGUGUAGGCGGUUUACACAGUCAGAUGUGAAAUCCCCGGGCUUAACCUGGGAGCUGCAUUUGAUACGUGUAGACUAGAGUGUGAGAGAGGGUUGUGGAAUUCCCAGUGUAGAGGUGAAAUUCGUAGAUAUUGGGAAGAACACCGGUGGCGAAGGCGGCAACCUGGCUCAUGACUGACGCUGAGGCGCGAAAGCGUGGGGAGCAAACAGGUUAGAUACCCUGGUAGUCCACGCUGUAAACGAUGUGUGCUAGAUGUUGGGUAACUUUGGUUAUUCAGUGUCGCAG
rnacentral:rRNA from 1 species